rnacentral:rRNA from 1 species
AAUAGCUGCAUUAUUUGACGUUUAGCGACAGAAGAAGCACAGGCUAACUCCGUGCCAGCAGCCGCGGUAAUACGGAGGGUGCGAGCGUUAAUCGGAAUUACUGGGCGUAAAGCGCAUGCAGGUGGUUUGUUAAGUUCAGAUGUGAAAGACCCGGGGCGUCAACCUCGGAAUAGCAUUUGAAACUAGGCAGACUAGAGUACUGUAGAGGGGGGUAGGAAGUUUCAGGUGUAGCGGUGAAAUGCGUAGAGAUCUGAAGGAAUACCGGUGGCGAAGGCGGCCCCCUCGGACAGAUACUGACACUCAGAUGCGAAAGCGUGGGGAGCAAACAGGAUUAGAUACCCUGGUAG